CCUACGGGUGGCAGCAGUGGGGAAUAUUGCACAAUGGGGGAAACCCUGAUGCAGCGACGCCGCGUGAGUGAAGAAGUAUUUCGGUAUGUAAAGCUCUAUCAGCAGGGAAGAAAAUGACAGUACCUGACCAAGAAGCCCCGGCUAACUACGUGCCAGCAGCCUCGGUAAUACGUAGGGGGCAAACGUUAUCCGGAUUUACUGGGUGUAAAGGGAGCGUAGACGGUUAUGUAAGUCUGAAGUGAAAUCCCAUGGCUUAACCAUGGAACUGCUUUGGAAACUGUGCAGCUGGAGUGCAGGAGAGGUAAGCGGAAUUCCUAGUGUAGCGGUGAAAUGCGUAGAUAUUAGGAGGAACACCAGUGGCGAAGGCGGCUUACUGGACUGUAACUGACGUUGAGGCUCGAAAGCGUGGGGAGCAAACAGGAUUAGAUACCCUAGUAGUC
rnacentral:rRNA from 1 species